GCACAAGCGGCGGAGCAUGUGGAUUAAUUCGAUGCAACGCGAAGAACCUUACCUGGGCUUGACAUACACCAGAUCGGGCUAGAGAUAGUCCUUCCCUUGUGGCUGGUGUACAGGUGGUGCAUGGUUGUCGUCAGCUCGUGUCGUGAGAUGUUGGGUUAAGUCCCGCAACGAGCGCAACCCUUGUCUUGUGUUGCCAGCACGUAAUGGUGGGGACUCGCGAGAGACUGCCGGGGUUAACUCGGAGGAAGGUGGGGAUGACGUCAAAUCAUCAUGCCCCUUAUGUCCAGGGCUUCACACAUGCUACAAUGGUCGAUACAGUGGGUUGCGAUACCGCGAGGUGGAGCUAAUCCCUUAAAGUCGGCCUCAGUUCGGAUUGGAGUCUGCAACUCGACUCCAUGAAGUCGGAGUCGCUAGUAAU
rnacentral:rRNA from 1 species